rnacentral:rRNA from 1 species
AGGUGAACUGCGGAAGGAUCAUUGU